rnacentral:rRNA from 1 species
GUCAACGCUGGCGGCCGCGCCUAACACAUGCAAGUCGAACGAGGAAAUGAAGCCCGCAAGAGUUGAGUACCUAGUGGCGUACGGGUGAGUACAACGUGGAUAAUCUACCCUCUAGUGGGGAAAUACCGCCUGGGAAACCGCGACAAUACCGCAUAAGCUCGAGAGAGGAAAGCCAGCAAUGCGCUGGAGGAGGAGUCCGCGGCUGAUUAGCUAGUUGGUGAGGUAAUGGCCUCACCAAUGCGCAAUAAGAUCAGUAGCCGGCCUGAGAGGGCCACACGGCCACACUGGCACUGAAACACGGCGCCAGACUCCUACGGGAGGCAGCAGUGGGAAUCUUGCACAAUGGGGGAAACCCUGAAUGCAGCGACGCCGCGUGAGCGAUGAAGCCCUAUCGGGGUGUAAAGCUAUCUUCUUUCGGCAGGAGAAGAUGAUGACGGUACCUGCAGAAGCAGCUGCGGCUAACUACGUGCCAGCAGCCGCGCGUAAUACGUAGGCAGCAAGCCGUGUUCGGAGUUACUGGGCGUAAAGGGUGUGUAGGCGGUUGGCAUAAGUGUGGCUGUGAAAUCUCCGCGCUCAACUGGGUAGGGUGCGCUAGCAAACUGUCUGACUGCGAGUGUGGGAUGGGGUAAGUGGAAUUCCUGGUGUAGCGGUGAAAUGCGUAGAUAUCAGAGGAACACCAGGUGGUGUAGACGGCUUACUGGACCAUAACAUGACGCUGAGUACUACGAAAGCGUGGGUAGCAAACAGGAUUAGAUACCCUGGUAGGUCCACGCCUCCUAAACGAUGCAUAUUUGGUGUAGGGUACUUCAUUGAUCCCUGUGCCGGAGCUAACGCGUUAACAUAUCGCCGCCUGGGGAGUACAGUCGCAAGGCACUGAAACUCAAAGGAAUUGACGGGGGCCCGUCCGCACAAGCGGUGGAGCAUGUGGUUCAAUUCGACGCAACGCGAAGAACCUUACCUGGGCUCGAAGCGCAGUGGAAUCCGGUGGAAACAUCGGCGCCCGCAAGGGUCGCUGCGGAGGUGCUGCAUGGCUGUCGUCAGCUCGUGUCGUGAGAUGUUGGGAUUAAGUCCCGCAACGAGCGCAACCCUUAUCGUUAGUUGCCAUCAGGUCAAGCCUGGGCACUCUAGCGAAACCGCUCUGCGAUAACGGGGAGGAAGGUGGGGAUGACGUCAAGUCCUCAUGGCCUUUAUGUCCCAGGGCUACACACGUGCUACAAUGGUCGGUACAAACCGUCGCCAAACCCGCGAGGGGGAGCUAAUCGGAAAAAGCCGGCCUCAGUUCGGAUUGGAGUCUGCAACCCGACUCCAUGAAGCUGGAAUCGCUAGUAAUCGCAGAUCAGAACGCUGCGGUGAAUACGUUCCCGGGCCUUGUACACACCGCCCGUCAUCAACCACGAAAGUGGGUGAUACUAGAAGUCGUUUCGGAUCAACCCGCAAGGGGACUGACGCCCAGGUAUGACUCAUGAUUGGGUGA